CACGUAGGGCGCGAGCGUUGUCCGGAUUUAUUGGGCGUAAAGAGCUCGUAGGCGGUGUGUUACGUCGGCCGUGAAAACCUGCAGCUUAACUGUGGGCUUGCGGUCGAUACGGGCAUCACUGGAGUUCGGCAGGGGAGACUGGAAUUCCUGGUGUAGCGGUGAAAUGCGCAGAUAUCAGGAGGAACACCGAGUGGCGAAGGCAGGGUCUCUGGGCAUUAACUGACGCUGGAGGAGCGAAAGCAUGGGGAGCG
rnacentral:rRNA from 1 species